ACCUAAGAUACAAUUCUUCCAGCCACAACUAAUAAAAGAUCUCUACUCCUUUUGUUCCUGCUGAAAAGGCUACCGAAUAUCGUCGGACGCGGAAAUUGAUGGAUCAGCACCUUGCUUCUGGUCGGCGCUCAGCGGUGUGUUGCCAUCGACCUAUGAUAAAUUGAGUUGUCGUUGUCUGGGGAUUUUGUUGUGAUACUC